CUAAUACAUGCAAGUCGAGCGAGCAGAACCAGCAGAUUUACUUCGGUAAUGACGCUGGGGACGCGAGCGGCGGAUGGGUGAGUAACACGUGGGGAACCUGCCCCAUAGUCUGGGAUACCACUUGGAAACAGGUGCUAAUACCGGAUAAGAAAGCAGAUCGCAUGAUCAGCUUAUAAAAGGCGGCGUAAGCUGUCGCUAUGGGAUGGCCCCGCGGUGCAUUAGCUAGUUGGUAAGGUAACGGCUUACCAAGGCAAUGAUGCAUAGCCGAGUUGAGAGACUGAUCGGCCACAUUGGGACUGAGACACGGCCCAAACUCCUACGGGAGGCAGCAGUAGGGAAUCUUCCACAAUGGACGCAAGUCUGAUGGAGCAACGCCGCGUGAGUGAAGAAGGUUUUCGGAUCGUAAAGCUCUGUUGUUG
rnacentral:rRNA from 1 species